GUGUCUUAAGAGCAUCUGGUGGAUGCCUUGGCGCUAAGAGGCGAUGAAGGACGUGGUACGCUGCGAUAAGCCAUGGGGAGCUGCGAACAAGCUUUGAUCCGUGGAUUUCCGAAUGGGGAAACCCACCCGCAAGGGUAUCUUGCACUGAAUACAUAGGUGCAAGAGGCGAACCUGGGGAACUGAAACAUCUAAGUACCCAGAGGAAAAUAAAUCAAACGAGAUUCCGCUAGUAGUGGCGAGCGAACGCGGACGAGGCCAGUGGCUUAUGCGAGACAACCGGAAUGACCUGGAAAGGUCAGCCUUAGUGGGUGAUAGCCCCGUACGGGUAAUGCGAGCAUAAGUCCUUGAGUAGGGCGGG
rnacentral:rRNA from 1 species